GCAGAGAGACAGGGCAGGAUCCCCGUGCCCACCCUGGAGGCAGAGAAAAGAGAAGUGUUUUAUAUACGGUACUUAUUUAAUAUCCCUUUUUAAUUAGAAAUUAAAACAGUUAAUUUAAUUAAAGAGUAGGGUUUUUUUCAGUAUUCUUGGUUAAUAUUUAAUUUCAACUAUUUAUGAGAUGUAUUUCUUGCUCUCUCGCUCUCUCUUGUUUGUACUGGUCUUUGUGUGAUUCUGAUAAAAUAGACAUUGCUAUUCUGUUUUUUAUAUGUAAAAACAAAACAAGAAAAAAUAGAGAAUUCUACAUACUAAAUCUCUCUCCAGAUAUUCCGUAGUACAUAUUUAUUUUUAAACAACAACGAAGGAAUACAGAUAUAUCUUAAAGAAAAAAACAUUUUGUAUUAAAGAAUUUAAUUCUGAUCUC
rnacentral:lncRNA from 1 species